rnacentral:rRNA from 1 species
CCUACGGGUGGCAGCAGUGGGGAAUAUUGGGCAAUGGGCGCAAGCCUGACCCAGCAACGCCGCGUGAAGGAAGAAAGCUUUCGGGUUGUAAACUUCUUUUCUGAGGGACGAAGAACGUGACGAUACCUCAGGAAUAAGCCACGGCUACCUACGUGCCCGCAGCCGCGGUAAUACGUAGGUGGCAAGCGUUAUCCGGAUUUAUUGGGUGUAAAGCGCGUGUAGGGGGGAAAGCAAGUCAGAUGUGAAAACUCAGGGCUCAACCCUGGGCCUGCAUUUGAAACUGUUUUUCUUGAGUGCUGGAGAGGGAAGCGGAAUUCCGGGUGUAGCGGUGAAAUGCGUAGAUAUACGGAGGAACACUAGUGGCGAAGGCGGAUUGCUGGACAGUAACUGACGCUGAGGCGCGAAAGCGUGGGGAGCAAACAGGAUUAGAUACCCGGGUAGUC